UACGUAGGGUGCAAGCGUUAAUCGGAAUUACUGGGCGUAAAGCGUGCGCAGGCGGUUAUGUAAGACAGAUGUGAAAUCCCCGGGCUCAACCUGGGAACUGCAUUCGUGACUGCAUAGCUAGAGUACGGUAGAGGGGGGAUGGAAUUCCGCGUGUAGCAGUGAAAUGCGUAGAUAUGCGGAGGAACACCGAUGGCGAAGGCAAUCCCCUGGACCUGUACUGACGCUCAUGCACGAAAGCGUGGGGAGCAAACAGG
rnacentral:rRNA from 1 species